UGGAAAUAUGUCAGAAUCUGAAGUUCAUCUUUAUGCACUGAAGAGAGGUAGGAGUUGUGGUGGACAUCUUCGCAAUGUGAAAAAGCAUGACGACUCUGAUGAUGCCACAGGCUCUGCUGAAAUUCAUUUGGCUGGAAAUAUGUCAGAAUCUGAAGUUCAUCAGCCAGAAAAUCACAGAGAUGGUGCUUCUGCCACUUCUUGCUCAGACAUUACAAGUGCCUCCAACAGUGGCAACAUCUUCCAGCAGCCAGAAUUCAAGUUCUCUGGAUACCCUUCUCACGUUGUUGGGACCAUGCAAGGGCGCUGAGUUGGUAUGCAUGGUGGUGGAAGCCAGCACCAUGCAUCUGCCCUCUUGUGCGAGAAGAGGCAAACAACCAAUCUCGGCAGUCCGUGUUCGCCACCAAUUAGAAGACAGUUGCUAAUAUUUCCUUGGGAAGUCAUCCUUGGCUCAGUUAAUCUGCAUUUUGUUUGUUUCGUUGCAUGCAUGCGUAUUCUCGAAAACUGAUGAUUUGACUCGAUGUGUCUACGUUCAUGUACUUGUGAAUUGAGAAGGUAUGCUAGUUGAUGACAAAUUUAACACAUCUAGCACUUGUACUAAUUUCUGGGUGAAGCUCUGCAUGUUUGUC
rnacentral:misc_RNA from 1 species